rnacentral:sRNA from 1 species
UUGCCUGCUGCGGACAAAUGUAGUGAAUAUGCGUAUCUAUGCCGCCGGCUGUCACGAUUUUGCCCUCGCCAGCUACGACGUCAGUGCAGCUGCCGACUAUCAUGUUGGGAGACACCCCAUCCAUGACGUCCGGAUUGCCAGCCUUACCGAUGCCAACAAUCAGACCCUCCUUGAUGCCGAUAUCUGCCUUGUAAAUGCCGGUCCAGUCGACAAUGAGCGCAUUCGUCACGACCGUGUCCAGCGACUCUGCAUCAGACCUCCCUGUCGCCUGGCCCAUGCCCUCCCUCAG